UGACAUCCACAGAAGAAUCCAGAGAUGGAUUUGUGCCUUCGGGAACUGUGAGACAGGUGCUGCAUGGCUGUCGUCAGCUCGUGUUGUGAAAUGUUGGGUUAAGUCCCGCAACGAGCGCAACCCUUAUCCUUUGUUGCCAGCGGUCCGGCCGGGAACUCAAAGGAGACUGCCAGUGAUAAACUGGAGGAAGGUGGGGAUGACGUCAAGUCAUCAUGGCCCUUACGACCAGGGCUACACACGUGCUACAAUGGCGCAUACAAAGAGAAGCGACCUCGCGAGAGCAAGCGGACCUCAUAAAGUGCGUCGUAGUCCGGAUUGGAGUCUGCAACUCGACUCCAUGAAGUCGGAAUCGCUAGUAAUCGUGGAUCAGAAUGCCACGGUGAAUACGUUCCCGGGCCUUGUACACACCGCCCGUCACACCAUGGGAGUGGGUUGCAAAAGAAGUAGGUAGCUUAACCUUCGGGAGGGCGCUUACCACUUUGUGAUUCAUGACUGGGGUGAAGUCGUAACAAGGUAACCGUAGGGGAACCUGC
rnacentral:rRNA from 1 species